CAGUAGGGUGCCAUCAAGAAGUGUUUUUGGAAAUAUCCCUAAUACAGGAUCACUUGGAUCCGUCGGCGAUGA
rnacentral:rRNA from 1 species